GGGUAGAUGUCCGAGCGGUUGAAGGAGCACGCCUGGAACGCGUGUAAGGUGCAAGCCUUCGUGGGUUCAAAUCCCACUCUACCCGCCA
rnacentral:tRNA from 1 species